GUUGUUCUAUCCCCGUUGACUGUUUUUCGAUCACCGAAGUUAAGCAAUGUCGGGCCCGGUCAGUACUUGAGAGGGUGUCCACCUGGAAACACCACGUGCUGUAGACU